rnacentral:lncRNA from 1 species
CUUAAUUUCUUUCAUUUACUUUGUAGGCUAUUUUGUAGCAACAAAUGUUACAAGUAGUUGCUUAUAAUUUUUUCUUUGUCUUUUCUUAAACCAGGAGCUAAGUAAUUCUGUCUUAUCUAUUUGUAAUUGUGAUAUAAGAAAUUUUUAUCUUCAAGUGCUAAAUGGUAGUGGGAGAUAAAAAAAAUUACAUAGCAUUUAGUUAAUCUCUCUCAAGAUUUAUAUAACUAAAGUUUAUAUUAAGUUUUAGAUCAUAUGAUUGAAAAUUAAAUAUGAUGAAGUUAGGUUGACAAAGGACAGGCGAAUGAAGUUGAAGGCUGUAUCUACAAACAUUUGUUUAUGCUUCUAUAGACUAGUGGAUACUAGGUGGUUUGAUUAUAACAAGAACAAUAACUAAUUCAAAUAAAACCAAUAUGUUUACAUAGAUCCACAUUUGUAAAAUGCUAUGGCCAGUUGCAUAUUGUUGUUGCAUCAAGUCUUUUGACCCUUCAAACUGCUAAUCACCAACUGUUACACAUUUGGUCAAUUAUAUGAGUUCUUUGUCAAACUAUGAUGAAAGUACAACUGUUGUUUGGCUUAGCAUCUAAAUGCAAUGACUAAGUCAUCAGCUGUAUAUUUUGGAGUUCACCUCAGCCUCACAAUCCUUUAUGUGUCAGUAUGUCUACUAAAAUCCUAAAUUGUGUGUUAGUAGUAUAGUUUAUAUAUAAUAUUAAUAAUAAUAAUCUCUUCUUAGAAUUUGUAGAUAAAUAUAGGUUAAAAAGUUUAAACAGAUGUUUUGUUUAGCACCAUUAUAUAAUAAUAUAUUUCAGUUCUCUUGAGAAUAUUUUGUUUCUUUGUCACUAAGAUCCAUCACAAACCUGAUGUGUGGUAUAUAUAUGUAUCUGAAUUAUACAUAUGUCUGCCUAGUCUUUAUAAACUACACAACGAACACCCACAAAGUCACAAGUAUUAUUUGCCCUGUUAUAAGGAAAAUUAGUGUUACUUUUAUUUUUUAAGAAAUAUCCAAAUUUCCCUUGAACCACACCCAAUACCGUUUGUGAAGAAAGGAAAUGAAGAAAGACCAAGAUAAAAUGGAAUCAUAUUAGCAAGCAGAAGAUACAUAUAAAGUAAGAGAAGUGUGAUAGUAUCAGUAAAAGAAAGAUUAAAAAUUAUUUGUGUAAUGUCAAACUCUGUUUCUCUUCCUUUUGUCUCUCAUUAAUCUUUCAUCUUCUCUGGUAGAAUGGAAUACAGAGAGAAUAAGAGAAACACAUAAAUAGAAGGUCAUAGACAGGAGAGAAGAGGAGAAUGGUGGUAUCACAUGAAUAGAAAGGCAGAGGAGAGUGGUGGUGUGUUUUUAUUGCUAUUUUUUGUUGGAUAUCAGUGUUUGGAUAUUCUAGAAGUAGUAGCCAAAUGAACAUUUAAUCACACCCUACUGCUUAACAUAUGCAUAUGUUUUGUAUAGGUCAGCACGAGAAGUUUCACUUAUCUUGACUUGUAUGCAUGUGUAUAUGGACACACACAAACAGGAAAUAGAAAAUGGCAUUAUGGUGUAAUUUGGGAAAUCUUUCUCAAACCACACCAUAGUGUAUGUAGGAGAUGUCUACAUUCCAGCUAGACCUAGUAGAAAUAGCAACCAAAUUUUCUUUCUCCUUUAAAUCACACGCUAGUCUUAUGUUUGUAAGAAUAAACUGAGUAGAGUAACUUCUAUGCAGUAGCUAGAGGUGGUUGAAAUAGCAAUUGUAUAUUUUCCUAAAUUAACAUCCACCAUUUCAUACAUGUGUAAGUCAACAAAGAUUUCUAUAUGGUUGCUCAACCUGCUAGAAAUGGUGGUAGAUACAUGCACACUUAAGAUUCCCUAUAAUCUGGAUGUCAUAAACAUGUCAAGAAGAUUUGCUACAUACAAACUGAUUUUCCAUUUGACUGUAAUGUGUACUAAAAUCAGCAAUGGCUGCUUGGUAUUUUGUUGAUACUAUAACUGAACAUCUCUGUGCACCUCGGCUAAUAUGUGUGCAUGUCCAUGUAUACGAGUGUGUGUGUAUCUAUCUAUAUAUCUCUAUAUAUACACACAGAGAGGUAGGGGUGGGAGCAUACAUGUGUGCCUAUACAUAUAUAUGCAUACACUAUGUAUGUAUGUGUGUUUGUAUUAUCGUUGAUGAUAUCUAUUCAUGGCUCAAAUUUUAUUCCAUUGAAAUUAAUGUUUUGAGAUGGCUUAUAAGUCUAUUUUUGACUUAAAAGACUGUGCCAAUGGAGAUAUUGGAACCAACUGAGUCAUAGUAGUUGGCCUGCUUUUCCCUGUUGAUAUUCUCUGUUAGCCUUCCCUUUUUGGCUACUUUCAAGGAAGUAGCUUAUUCUCCUAUGGAGUAAAUGAUCAGAUGCAUCAGUAGUCCAUGAAGAAGGUGUGUGUAAGCUUUCUUUGGUUGAUCCUUGUAUUGCCACUUCUGAUUUCCAACUAAAUGCAUUUCUUCUUGCUAUCCACCACAAUCAUGAUACAUAUAUGUAUGUUGUCAUCUUCACAAAAGAUUCAAACAGCAUUGUUUUACUAAAAAGACAACAUUGGUGCUCUGUUCAGUACAACAGUGAAAAAUUGAAGGUUUUCUCUUCUCCCCAUUACAUUUUAACAUCUUAAAAAACUUUGA